UACGGGGGGGGGCAAGCGUUGUUCGGAAUUACUGGGCGUAAAGGGCUCGUAGGUGGCCAAUUAAGUCAGGCGUGAAAUCCCCAGGCUCAACUUGGGAACUGCGUCUGAUACUGGUUGGCUUGAAUUCGGGAGAGGGAUGCAGAAUUCCAGGUGUAGCGGUGAAAUGCGUAGAUAUCUGGAGGAAUACCGGUGGCGAAGGCGGCAUCCUGGACCGAGAUUGACACUGAUGAGCGAAAGCCAGGGGAGCAAACGGGG
rnacentral:rRNA from 1 species